rnacentral:misc_RNA from 1 species
UCGAGUUAGGGUCUCCUGUAGGCCCGACCUCCAACCCUUUGUCUACCUAACCUCACGUUGCUUCGGCGGGCCCGUUCCCUGGCAACCAGGGGGCGACCGCCGGUGGCCAAUUUCAAACUCUUUGAACCGUGGCGUCUGAGUGGAAAAAGAAUCAAUAACCAA